rnacentral:lncRNA from 1 species
AUGAGGUUCAAAGAAAUUAAACCAGAAAUAAAACCCAUGCAAGUGUUGUCCAGUAAGCAUUUUCAAAAGAACAUACAAGGGUAUAGUAUUUUACACAAAGUAGGACCUGGCAGUAGUUUCUGAAUGUCUGCCCUUUUUUAACAGUGAUUCUCCAGGGACUUCUGUUGCACUGGAGAACCUAUGUUGUUAACUUCUGAUUAAAGCUAAGAAAAGAACUCACUGACUCCACUUUGAAAUUACGUAAUUCACAGAAGGGCACAGAGAUAUUAUGGUUUUCUGAUGGCUGGUAUUACCUGACUUUAGAGGUAUCCAGGGUGUGAGCAAGCAGAACUCAGACAGCUCUGUCAUGCUGAAGCUGGAAAACAGUCCCUUACCUCUGAGAAGCGUCUCCUGGCAGAUGAAACCCUCAAUCACUCUGUCGCUAACAGGACACGUCCAAACCCAGGAGGUCGCCCCAGACCCCAUCCUGCUCAGUUCACACGCCAGUGGUAACUGAACACUAGCAGAAUGACUGGUUCAUCUCAGCUUCUUCACUGAAUUUUUUAUCUGCUUGAUGAAGAACUCACCCCCGAGGGAAGCAGGACAGCACAGUGUUGAAGGACAUGGGUUUUGGAGCCAGACAAACCUGAGGCCAGCCCCUAACUUUGCCACCUUCCAGAUGUAUGACUUCGAGCCUCACUUUCCUCCCCUCAUAGCACCAGCUCCUCAGAAGGUAAGGAUUAAAUACACCCAUGUGUGCAAAGCACAUGGUAAGAGCUUAACGAACAACAGGAAUUCUAAUAAUAAGCACCGGACUCAUCCCCGUGAAA